rnacentral:rRNA from 1 species
CAAUAGCGUAUAUUAAAGUUGUUGCGGUUAAAAAGCUCGUAGUUGGAUUUCUGCCGAGGACGACCGGUCCGCCCUCUGGGUGAGUAUCUGGCUCGGCCUGGGCAUCUUCUUGGAGAACGUAGCUGCACUUGACUGUGUGGUGCGGUAUCCAGGACUUUUACUUUGAGGAAAUUAGAGUGUUUCAAGCAGGCUUACGCCUUGAAUACAUUAGCAUGGAAUAAUAAGAUAGGACCUCGGUUCUAUUUUGUUGGUUUCUAGAGCUGAGGUAAUGAUUAAUAGGGAUAGUUGGGGGCAUUCGUAUUUAACUGUCAGAGGUGAACUUCUUGGAUUUGUUAAAGACGGACUACUGCGAAAGCAUUUGCCAAGGAUGUUUUCAUUGA